rfam:Dipodomys ordii contig_55294, whole genome shotgun sequence.
GGUGGCUCAAUGGUAGAGCACUUGCCUUGCAUGCAUGAGGCCCUGGGUUCAAUUCCUCAGCACCA